GAUGAACGCUGGCGGCGUGCCUAAUACAUGCAAGUCGAGCGAACAGACGAGGAGCUUGCUCCUCUGACGUUAGCGGCGGACGGGUGAGUAACACGUGGAUAACCUACCUAUAAGACUGGGAUAACUUCGGGAAAGCGGAGCUAAUACCGGAUAAUAUAUUGAACCGCAUGGUUCAAUAGUGAAAGACGGUUUUGCUGUCACUUAUAGAUGGAUCCGCGCCGCAUUAGCUAGUUGGUAAGGUAACGGCUUACCAAGGCAACGAUGCGUAGCCGACCUGAGAGGGUGAUCGGCCACACUGGAACUGAGACACGGUCCAGACUCCUACGGGAGGCAGCAGUAGGGAAUCUUCCGCAAUGGGCGAAAGCCUGACGGAGCAACGCCGCGUGAGUGAUGAAGGUCUUCGGAUCGUAAAACUCUGUUAUUAGGGAAGAACAAAUGUGUAAGUAACUAUGCACGUCUUGACGGUACCUAAUCAGAAAGCCACGGCUAACUACGUG
rnacentral:rRNA from 1 species